CCCGCCUCGGUCUCCCAAAGUGCUGGAAUUACAGGCGUGAGUCACCGCGCCCAGCCAAAAAGCCAUUAUUCUAAUUAAUGCAUUUGUGAACCUCAACAUAAAAAAAUCCAGUUAUAUAAUCACAAGAGAGUUAUCCCUUUCAAAUGUAUACCCUCCUCGUCGCUGUACCCCAUUUCUUCCCACUUCUUUCCCAAUGUAGCCUGGUCCCUUUAUCCAGUUCCGAGUCUCCGUAAACACCCUGCUCCCAACACACACACCCCUCCACGCUCCAGCCCGCGCCCCCUGAACCCCAUUACACCCGGGUCCCUCCCCCUGGACCUCCCAGCAGCUCUAGUCCUCCCCGCGUGCCCUAGAGCAGACCGGCGCCGCGUCCCUGUACCCACAGGACCCAGGUCCUGCCCCACACGUCACACUCAGGUCCAUUCCUCCCGCGACCUAACCUUCCCCGCACCCCCUCC
rnacentral:lncRNA from 1 species